rnacentral:rRNA from 1 species
GACGAACGCUGGCGGCGUGCUUAACACAUGCAAGUCGAACGGAAAGGCCCUGCUUUUGUGGGGUGCUCGAGUGGCGAACGGGUGAGUAACACGUGAGUAACCUGCCCUUGACUUUGGGAUAACUUCAGGAAACUGGGGCUAAUACCGGAUAGGAGCUCCUGCUGCAUGGUGGGGGUUGGAAAGUUUCGGCGGUUGGGGAUGGACUCGCGGCUUAUCAGCUUGUUGGUGGGGUAGUGGCUUACCAAGGCUUUGACGGGUAGCCGGCCUGAGAGGGUGACCGGCCACAUUGGGACUGCGAUACGGCCCAGACUCCUACGGGAGGCAGCAGUGGGGAAUAUUGCACAAUGGGCGGAAGCCUGAUGCAGCAACGCCGCGUGCGGGAUGACGUCCUUCGGGUUGUAAACCGCUUCCGCCUGUGACGAAGCGUGAGUGACGGUAAUGGGUAAAGAAGCACCGGCUAACUACGUG